AACCAUCAGAACAUCCCAGUGUCGCACUGCAUGCAUUUCAUCUAUCCCUCAUAAAAAACAAAAGCUGCUGUGUGAAUCCCCGCAUGUAUGAAUGGUUUUGGCAAUGUGCCGAUCAAGGAUCGCUGUAUCGCAGUGCAGUGCAGUGUAGCCUAUACUGGACAUGUGUGUACAUGCAGCUAGCUAACUACGUGCACUAUAUUCACAAUCCAGCUACAUGUCUCGUGUUUUCGUGGUGUUUUAAAUCUGCAAAAUCAUACUGAAUUCUGUUUUCCCCGGCUAAUCUACAACAGUAUGGAUAUAUACGCAACAUGACAAACGAGUAGUUUCCAUAUCGACGUCGUUCUGUAUCAUCAUCUUGACCAAAACAUCAACGCCACCAUCACCAUGUCUUCGCCGUUGACCUCCCUUUUGGCGUUUGAACUUUGAAGUUUUUGGCGAACUCUAAUAAUGAAUUGGACAUUGGCAUUAUCUAACUUUGUUCUGUCUUUAAACACCGUCGACGUCGAACUUUGAUUGAAGGUAAGAACCUCCUUUUUACCGUCUUCGUCUUCGAUUUGCGUUUCGUCGUUUGCAAGUCUGAUCCUGACUCCGGCUAAUGAUGAAGUUAUCGACUUUCGAUCUGUCUUCGAUCACCGUCGACGUGGAAGUCUAUACCAAGUUUCACCAUCGCCAUACAUGGACUUCGCAUCCGAUCGACAUUGCGGACUCUGGCUUUCAUUCAUCAUUCAUUUUUUAACUGUAUUAUGAUUACCGACGUCAUCUAUGAUCUACCAUAGCAAGUAGGCAUAGCUACCAAUUGUUUCUUCAAACUAAAUCCGAGUACGACAUCAUCGACGAAUCUCGCAUCUCCGCUGGAAGGACAGUUUGUAAAAUGUACUAUGUAAUUUGAAUAUGAGCGGCAGUCUUUCGCUAUAGAAAUAGAUUAACCACUUUACUCAUAAUAUUGCUGUGUGCUGAAAGUGUUAAGUGUCAUGUAUAAUGUUACAAGCGGCAGUCUUUCGCUAUAGAAUUGGAUUUUUGGUGUUACUGAAAUGUGCUCAGAAUUCAAGUAAUUCAUCUAUUAAAUGACUUUAACAGACAAGAAACAAGUCAAAGGUAAGGACAAGAUUCAGAGCUUAUAAAUAUAACAGAAAUUUUGCAUGAAAUACCAUCAGGAAAGCUAUCUAAAUUUGUCAGAAAUUAGCGACAAACACACCAAAUUCAGCGCUGCAAUGACGCACAAAACGGCGUAGAAUUCAACUUUUCAUCCACAAAAAUGAAUUCAGACACUUGCAUUAUACAAUCUUCAAAACCUGUAUCACCCUUAUAGCAAGCAAUAAAAUCACAAUCUAUAUCUAGACCUAGAUCUACGGCUAAUAAUAAAACGUAGGGCCUACCCUUUUGGUGUUCUUGCUGUCUAGCGACCAAUUAUUCGCACACACACACAAUGUAUGGUAUCCGCGAUCGCUCAAACCAGUUUUUAAGUAAGACUAAACUAUUUCCGGUAACUUGAAUGUUACCCUUGAACUAUUACAUGGGCGUGGCAUUUAUAAUACCGGUAAUAUAAAAUAUUUGUUUUCCUUCUUUUUUGAUAAUUCUUAUUUUGUUUCCUUUUUUUUUCUUUUUAUAAUUAUGUUAUUUUUUUUAUUUUGUUAAGAGUUUACAGUUUAUGUGCACUGACAAUUUUGAAAAAAAAAA